GACUGAAAUGGACUCUGAAGUAAUAUCUGGACUUUGAAAUUGUUUCCUUAACGACAACAAAAAAGGGAGUAAUCCUACCUACUGUAAGAGUCAUGACUCUUGAUUGCAGCUGACAGAAGCUCAUGACAGCCUGGUUUAGAUAAAAGGGGAAAGGACGACUGGAAGAAUCUUGGAGUUGGGAAUAUGGCACAUAAUUGAAGGAAGAGCAAUAAAACUAUAAUGGAGUCUCGCUCUGUCACCAGGCUGGAGUGCAGUGGCAUGAUCUCAGCUCACUGCGACCUCUGUCUCCUGGGAUCAAGAGAUUCUCGUGCCUCAGCCUCCCGAGUAGCUGGGACUACAGGCAGCUGCUCCCAACCCCAGCAACUUUGCUAUCUUAGAACGGAUCACCAGUGAAAGAGGGGAAGUUGCUACUGUGAUGAAUUCUGCCAUGUGGUACCAGACUGCUGCCCAGACCACAGUGUCCUCUGCAACCCUGGUAACUCACAUACAGGCCUGAUUCCACCUACAGCAAAGCUGGAUGCUAUGGUUGGCAGAGGCAAGCCCCUUGCCUGCACUUCAGGCCAAAGCCGGGAUGUGGCCUAGAUGGUUCCUAAGGUCCCUGACAGUCCUGAGAUCUUUCAUCUUGUCUAUUUCAGGUCAAAGGUGCCUACAUGUUCCUUCUAGCUUUGUUUCCCUGAUGUUCCUUGCCACCUGCUACUCCUCUCUGAGCUACUUUUCCAGGUUCCACAGGGAGAGGUUCAGCUGUCCAUGGUAGACAUGAGGGUAGAGAAUGAGAUGGUUGGGUUCCACUUACCUUUCUAUCAUCUUGCAGUAUGGAUGUCUCUUGACUGGUACCAUGUAGACUUUUGAGGGCAGACAGGAGUCUGCAGAGAGAUACUGGGGAUAUUGAGCAGCAGCAAUGGGGUUGGGAGGCAGAAAUGAGGACAGGAACAUUUACCUUGUGUUUCUCUCAGCUUCUCAGAUGACCAAGAUGGUGCUGCCGAUGGUGUUGAGGACGGAGAACCCACCAAGCCC
rnacentral:lncRNA from 1 species